UACGUAGGGGGCUAGCGUUGUCCGGAAUCAUUGGGCGUAAAGAGCGUGUAGGCGGCCCGGUAAGUCCGCUGUAAAAGUCAAAGGCUCAACCUUUGAAUGUCAGUGGAUACUGCCGGGCUAGAGUCCGGAAGAGGCGAGUGGAACUCCUGGUGUAGCGGUGGAAUGCGCAGAUAUCAGGAAGAACACCAACGGCGAAAGCAGCUCGCUGGGACGGUACUGACGCUGAGACGCGAAAGCGUGGGGAGCGAACAGG
rnacentral:rRNA from 1 species